rfam:Ovis aries breed Texel chromosome 12, whole genome shotgun sequence.
UCCCUGGUGGCUCAGAUGGUAAAGCAUCUGCCUGCAAUGUGGGAGACCUGGGUUCGAUCCCUGGGUUGGGAA